UACGUAGGGUGCAAGCGUUGUCCGGAAUUAUUGGGCGUAAAGAGCUCGUAGGCGGUCUGUCGCGUCUGCUGUGAAAAACUCGGGGCUUAACCCCCGGGCCUGCAGUGGGUACGGGGCAGACUAGAGUGCGGUAGGGGGAGACUGGAAUUCCUGGUGUAGCGGUGGAAAUGCGCAGAUAUCAGGAGGAACACCGGUGGCGAAGGCGGGGUCUCUGGGGCCGUAACUGACGCUGAGGAGCGAAAAGCAUGGGGGAGCGAACAGG
rnacentral:rRNA from 1 species